rnacentral:rRNA from 1 species
GUUGUAUGGUUAAGUGACUAAGCGUACACGGUGGAUGCCUGGGCAGUCAGAGGCGAUGAAGGACGUACUAACUUGCGAUAAGCGCAGAUAAGGCAGUAAGAGCCGUUUGAGUCUGCGAUUUCCGAAUGGGGAAACCCAACUGCAUAAGCAGUUACUGUUAACUGAAUACAUAGGUUAACAGAGCAAACCGGGGGAACUGAAACAUCUAAGUACCCCGAGGAGAAGAAAUCAACCGAGAUUCCGGUAGUAGCGGCGAGCGAACCUGGAUUAGCCCUUAAGCACUCGGUGAAGUAGGUGAACAAGCUGGAAAGCUUGGCGAUACAGGGUGAUAGCCCCGUAACCGACGCUUCAUCGAGCGUGAAAUCGAGUAGGGCGGGACACGUGAUAUCCUGUCUGAAUAUGGGGGGACCAUCCUCCAAGGCUAAAUACUCCUGACUGACCGAUAGUGAACCAGUACCGUGAGGGAAAGGCGAAAAGAACCCCUGUGAGGGGAGUGAAAUAGAACCUGAAACCGUGUACGUACAAGCAGUAGGAGCACCUUCGUGGUGUGACUGCGUACCUUUUGUAUAAUGGGUCAGCGACUUAUAUUCAGUGGCAAGGUUAACCGUAUAGGGGAGCCGUAGCGAAAGCGAGUCUUAACUGGGCGUUCAGUCUCUGGAUAUAGACCCGAAACCGGGUGAUCUAGCCAUGGGCAGGUUGAAGGUUGAGUAACAUCAACUGGAGGACCGAACCGACUAAUGUUGAAAAAUUAGCGGAUGACUUGUGGCUAGGGGUGAAAGGCCAAUCAAACUCGGAGAUAGCUGGUUCUCCCCGAAAGCUAUUUAGGUAGCGCCUCGGACGAAUACUACUGGGGUAGAGCACUGUUAAGGCUAGGGGUCAUCCCGACUUACCAACCCUUUGCAAACUCCGAAUACCAGUAAGUACUAUCCGGGAGACACACGGCGGGUGCUAACGUCCGUCGUGGAGAGGGAAACAACCCAGACCGCCAGCUAAGGUCCCAAAGUAUUGCUAAGUGGGAAACGAUGUGGGAAGGCUCAGACAGCUAGGAUGUUGGCUUAGAAGCAGCCAUCAUUUAAAGAAAGCGUAAUAGCUCACUAGUCGAGUCGGCCUGCGCGGAAGAUGUAACGGGGCUAAGCAAUACACCGAAGCUGCGGCAAUAUCUUUUAGAUAUUGGGUAGGGGAGCGUUCUGUAAGCCGUUGAAGGUGAAUCGUAAGGUUUGCUGGAGGUAUCAGAAGUGCGAAUGCUGACAUGAGUAACGACAAAGGGGGUGAAAAACCUCCUCGCCGGAAGACCAAGGGUUCCUGUCCAACGUUAAUCGGGGCAGGGUGAGUCGACCCCUAAGGUGAGGCCGAAAGGCGUAAUCGAUGGGAAACGGGUUAAUAUUCCCGUACUUCUGACUAUUGCGAUGGGGGACGGAGAAGGCUAGGUGGGCCAGGCGACGGUUGUCCUGGUUCAAGUGCGUAGGCUUGAGAGUUAGGUAAAUCCGGCUCUCUUUAAGGCUGAGACACGACGUCGAGCUGCUACGGCAGUGAAGUCAUUGAUGCCAUGCUUCCAGGAAAAGCCUCUAAGCUUCAGAUAGUUAGGAAUCGUACCCCAAACCGACACAGGUGGUCGGGUAGAGAAUACCAAGGCGCUUGAGAGAACUCGGGUGAAGGAACUAGGCAAAAUGGUACCGUAACUUCGGGAGAAGGUACGCUCUUGAUGGUGAAGUCCCUCGCGGAUGGAGCUGACGAGAGUCGCAGAUACCAGGUGGCUGCAACUGUUUAUUAAAAACACAGCACUGUGCAAAAUCGCAAGAUGACGUAUACGGUGUGACGCCUGCCCGGUGCCGGAAGGUUAAUUGAUGGGGUUAGCGCAAGCGAAGCUCUUGAUCGAAGCCCCGGUAAACGGCGGCCGUAACUAUAACGGUCCUAAGGUAGCGAAAUUCCUUGUCGGGUAAGUUCCGACCUGCACGAAUGGCGUAAUGAUGGCCACGCUGUCUCCACCCGAGACUCAGUGAAAUUGAAAUCGCUGUGAAGAUGCAGUGUACCCGCGGCUAGACGGAAAGACCCCGUGAACCUUUACUACAGCUUGGCACUGAACAUUGAACCUACAUGUGUAGGAUAGGUGGGAGGCUAUGAAGACGUGACGCCAGUUGCGUUGGAGCCGUCCUUGAAAUACCACCCUUGUAUGUUUGAUGUUCUAACUUAGACCCAUUAUCUGGGUUGAGGACAGUGCCUGGUGGGUAGUUUGACUGGGGCGGUCUCCUCCCAAAGAGUAACGGAGGAGCACGAAGGUGGGCUAAUCACGGUUGGACAUCGUGAGGUUAGUGCAAUGGCAUAAGCCCGCUUAACUGCGAGAAUGACGGUUCGAGCAGGUGCGAAAGCAGGUCAUAGUGAUCCGGUGGUUCUGUAUGGAAGGGCCAUCGCUCAACGGAUAAAAGGUACUCCGGGGAUAACAGGCUGAUACCGCCCAAGAGUUCAUAUCGACGGCGGUGUUUGGCACCUCGAUGUCGGCUCAUCACAUCCUGGGGCUGAAGUCGGUCCCAAGGGUAUGGCUGUUCGCCAUUUAAAGUGGUACGCGAGCUGGGUUUAGAACGUCGUGAGACAGUUCGGUCCCUAUCUGCCGUGGGCGUUGGAAGAUUGAAGGGGGCUGCUCCUAGUACGAGAGGACCGGAGUGGACGAACCUCUGGUGUUCGGGUUGUGUCGCCAGACGCAUUGCCCGGUAGCUAAGUUCGGAAUUGAUAAGCGCUGAAAGCAUCUAAGCGCGAAGCGAGCCCUGAGAUGAGUCUUCCCUGACGGUUUAACCGUCCUAAAGGGUUGUUCGAGACUAGAACGUUGAUAGGCAGGGUGUGUAAGCGUUGUGAGGCGUUGAGCUAACCUGUACUAAUUGCCCGUGAGGCUUAACCAUACAACACCCAAGGGGUUUUGUA